rnacentral:rRNA from 1 species
UGAACGCUGGCGGCAUGCCUUACACAUGCAAGUCGCCCGGCAGCACGGGUGCUUGCACCUGGUGGCGAGUGGCGAACGGGUGAGUAAUACAUCGGAACAUGUCCUGUAGUGGGGGAUAGCCCGGCGAAAGCCGGAUUAAUACCGCAUACGAUCUACGGAUGAAAGCGGGGGACCUUCGGGCCUCGCGCUAUAGGGUUGGCCGAUGGCUGAUUAGCUAGUUGGUGGGGUAAAGGCCUACCAAGGCGACGAUCAGUAGCUGGUCUGAGAGGACGACCAGCCACACUGGGACUGAGACACGGCCCAGACUCCUACGGGAGGCAGCAGUGGGGAAUUUUGGACAAUGGGCGAAAGCCUGAUCCAGCAAUGCCGCGUGUGUGAAGAAGGCCUUCGGGUUGUAAAGCACUUUUGUCCGGAAAGAAAUCCUUGGCCCUAAUACGGUCGGGGGAUGACGGUACCGGAAGAAUAAGCACCGGCUAACUACGUG